rnacentral:tRNA from 1 species
GGCUGUAGCUCAGUGGUAAAGUGCUUGCCUCACAUGUCUGAGGCACUGGGUUCAAUCCUCAGCAUCA